UACGUAGGGUGCAAGCGUUGUCCGGAAUUAUUGGGCGUAAAGAGCUCGUAGGCGGUCUGUCGCGUCGGCUGUGAAAACUCGGGGCUCAACUCCGAGCUUGCAGUCGAUACGGGCAGGCUAGAGUUCGGCAGGGGAGACUGGAAUUCCUGGUGUAGCGGUGAAAUGCGCAGAUAUCAGGAGGAACACCGGUGGCGAAGGCGGCUCUCUGGAACGCAACUGACGCUGAGACGCGAAAGCGUGGGGAGCAAACAGG
rnacentral:rRNA from 1 species